CCAGGCGCAGACAGCCCAGAACGCGCGCCGAGCGCUUGCGCGGGGCCGACGGCCACCUAGGGGCGAGGAGCGCCGCGCACAGCUGCCGACCGGCGCGCCACUAGCCCACCUGCAGCCCGGCCAGGAGGAGGGCUGGACUGUGGGGCCAAGAGAAAUGGCCGGGCCGGGAGCCCUCCGAGGAGCCGCCUCCGCGAACUUCUAGGCUUGCCGGGCACAGGCUGAGAGAAAGUUCGAAACCAGGCUGCUGUGGUAGAAGUAAUGACAGGAGACCGCCGAGCAGAGGAGCCGGCAGAAAGAUGCUGGGAAGACACCGGGGAAAAAAACCGGCACACAGUGAGAGAGAGAGGCAGAGACACAGGCAGAGGGAGAAGCAGGCUCCAUGCACCGGGAGCCCAACGUGGGAUUAGAUCCUGGGUCUCCAGGAUCGCGCCCUGGGCCAAAGGCAGGCGCUAAACCGCUGCGCCACCCAGGGAUUCCCAUAUUCUAUUUUCUCAGAACAGUUCUGACUCAGUGUGGGAAAAGACUACAAAAGUGUGAACACCAAGGAAGAGGCAAGGAUCAGUGGAAGCCAUGUUGGAUAUUGGCUACAACAACCAACUCCCACAAGCACUGAUGCAUAGCCUCUCUAGCCAAAGGGUGAACAUCCCUUUGGAGAAGGCCAGGAGGAAGAUUUAUGAUGUAUUCAUGCAGCAAUGCUGUAAGAUCAUUCUUCAUGGGAAGGAAGCCAUUCAAUCAAAAGAUUCUACGUUUAUGAACUGGCUUAAGUUUGGAAACUGGGCAAGAAGCCAUGACCCUCCAUUGUGGUAACUCAAGUCAGAUUUUUGGCCAUCCAACAUAUACCAGGCUGUUCAUCUCUUUUACUCCAAGGAAUAUCAUGAUCAAUUAGCCACAACCAAAGGUCUCUAUGGGCCAGAGCAUUCUUAUUACUAAUAAUAUACCUCCUUCUCUUUAGACUAAACAUGCCCACCUUGUCUUUUACGGUUAAGUGCUGCCACUUGACCUCUGCUACUUGGGAUCCCAUCAUUUCUAGUGAAAUCAGGGAGUUCAUCACAAUGGCAGCAUCUUGCAUGGUCAUACCUUUUCCUACAAAGGAGAGCAACCACAAACCUCUCUACUGUAUUUCUCAAUGUUUAGUAUUUCUCUUCUCACUAAUGUAUGUUUCAGUGUCUUAGUGGCAGGAGUGCUGUCCAGGCCACCCCAGGAGUUUGCCAUUUGUACAAAUAAAUCCACUCUAACCUGCCUGUCUCCUUAAGUCUUUGGAUACCCUUCUUUACUUCAGGCCAGUGAAGCUCUGGUAUCUUAUUCUCAUUCAACAAGCCACCAGUGAACCAAAAUUUUAGUCAACCAACCCAUUAAGUUGUUAGAGCCACCUCCAUUUACAUAAAUUAACACGUUAAAUCUAGAAUCUCUAGUAAGCAGCCCCAAAUCAAUGAAUUCUUCCUGAUAUAGUUAUGUUUUGCCUUCUUUGAUCUGAUACCCUUAGAAUCUACUCCUACACAUUUCCAGGUUUGUGCUAACACUGUAUAUAUUAGCUAAACCUUGUGAUAAUUCAUUUGAUGUACUAGCUACUCUUUUCCGGGUCAUAUUGUAUACCUGACUCCCUAGAGUAGACUGAGAUUUGACCCUACUUAUGAUUCUACUAGCAACCAUGUAUGAUUGUGGUAUUUCUUACAGAGGAUGCACACCCCCUUGCAAGGCAUCUGUCCUCAAUCAGGUUAUUGUCAAGUUUUCAAGCAAAACAAGGCUAGUUCCCUCAGAGUCCUGCCUUUGGAGAUGAUGGAUAUGUUUAUGGCAUAAAUUGUGGUGAUGGUUUCAUGGAUGUAUAUACUUCUCUCCAAAUUCAUCAAGUUGUCGGGAUCCCUGGGUUGCGCAGUGGUUUGGCGCCUGCCUUUGGCCCAGGGCGUGAUCCUGGAGACCCGGGAUCGAAUCCCACAUCGGGCUACCGGUGCAUGGAGCCUACUUCUCCCUCUGCCUGUGUCUCUGCCUCUCUCUCUCUGUGACUAUCAUAAAUAAAUAAAAAUUAAAAAAAAAAUAAAUCCCAUUAAAAAAAAAUUCAUCAAGUUGUAUACAUUAAAUAUGUACUACUUUUUAUAUGAGUUCACUUUUUGAACUCAAUGUGGCUUAAAAAAAGAAAUUGUAGGGGCACCUGGGUGGCUCAGUUGGUUAAGCAUCCGCCUUUAGCUCAGGAGGUCAUGAUCCUGGGUUCCUGAGAUCAAGCCCC